rnacentral:rRNA from 1 species
CUUGGUCAGGAUGAACGCUAGCUACAGGCUUAACACAUGCAAGUCGAGGGGCAUCAUGGAGUUGCUUGCAAACUCUGAUGGCGACCGGCGCACGGGUGAGUAACGCGUAUCCAACCUUCCCUAUAGUAGAGGAUAGCCCGGCGAAAGUCGGAUUAAUACUCUAUGUUUUCCGUUGCAGACAUCUAAGAUGGAACAAAGGCUUGCCGCUAUAGGAUGGGGAUGCGUCUGAUUAGGUAGUCGGCGGGGUAACGGCUCACCGAGCCAUCGAUCAGUAGGGGUUCUGAGAGGAAGGUCCCCCACAUUGGAACUGAGACACGGUCCAAACUCCUACGGGAGGCAGCAGUGAGGAAUAUUGGUCAAUGGGCGAGAGCCUGAACCAGCCAAGUAAGCGUGCAGGACGACGGCCCUAUGGGUUGUAAACUGCUUUUAUGCGGGGAUAAAGUUCACUACGUGUAGUGUUUUGUAGGUAUCGUAUGAAUAAGGACCGGCUAAUUCCGUGCCAGCCGCCGC